rnacentral:rRNA from 1 species
CCUGGCGGCGAGUGGCGAACGGGUGAGUAAUACAUCGGAACGUGCCCAAUCGUGGGGGAUAACGCAGCGAAAGCUGUGCUAAUACCGCAUACGAUCUACGGAUGAAAGCAGGGGAUCGCAAGACCUUGCGCGAAUGGAGCGGCCGAUGGCAGAUUAGGUAGUUGGUGAGGUAAAGGCUCACCAAGCCUUCGAUCUGUAGCUGGUCUGAGAGGACGACCAGCCACACUGGGACUGAGACACGGCCCAG